rnacentral:tRNA from 1 species
GCCCCCGUAGCUCAGUAUGGAUAGAGCAGCAGUUUCCUAAACUGUUGGUCGGAGGUUCGACUCCUCUCGGGGGUACAA